GAAAUGCCAAAUAUACUCUUCAAUACAUGCAAAGAAAUCAAAAUUCUCUUUCGGGGGCGUUGCCCCAACCCCCCAUGAGGGGCGCUGCCCCCUCGACCCCCGCGACCUGACCGGGCAGGUCGAUCCCCGUUUGUGCGCCCCGAAGCGGCGAAGUGGCAAACAAUUUUGCUUAAACGGAUUGAGUCAAGCUUUUGAGUAUUUGGCCGAAGUCGAUGCGAACUUUAAUCGAUUUUUCAAUUCUUAAUUUAUUUAACCAAUAUCCAACAAUCCCCCACAUGAAUGGAAAUUCCUCGAUAUGCGCAACACAAAGCGAAUGCAAUGAAAAUGAAAUGCAGACUCUAACAAACGGAGUACACACGACAAGUCGUAGCAUCAAGAUAGGUAGCUUGUGGCCUUGAACCUUCUUUAGUUGAAUACAAUCGGAUUUACUAGGCUAGUUGGUGAACGCGAUGUCUUGAACCAUCCAGCCGUUCGUGUAAAACCAAACAACUGUACCAACACCAUGACUCAUCUAACCUAUUCGGUUCUCAUGGUUGAGUCCAUUUUGGCCCUGGACAACUCUUGGUUUCAUAAGUGCUCUAAGAGAAUUAAGCCUCGAAUUCUCGUAGAAACGGCCCCAUUUCACACUUAUAUAGGUGAUCUCAUACCUUUCUAUCUCAAGGUUAUGAAUCAUUAAAAGUAUAUAUAUGUAUACUUAUCCUUAUACACAUUUUACAUAGCACUUUAAAUUUUAGGAAUGGGAAUAAGUGCUUUAUUCCGGGGGGUGUAAUUAAUAAACCCCCAAUCAGAUACUAAUUCUGGAAGAAACAAGAGUGGGGAUGGGGGGAGGCAGUAACAAAUUCGGUUAUUUGGGUAGGGUGAGUAAGCAAAAUUCUGUUACAGGGGUCUAUAAAUAGAAAUAUUUUGGAAGGUGAUAUCAUGCUUAAUUUUGAGUGUGGAAAGGAAGAAAUCGUAGAGAGCAACAGCCCUCUUGACAGGCUGUUUAUCCUCAUAUUCACUGCCUUGAAUUUCAAUCAAUUCAAUUCAACAUUUUCGCUCCUUUCUUUUCAUUUCAGAAUUGUUGAUACAUUUAUUAGGCUGGAACCUAUCGGUACAAUAUUAGAUUUGAGUCAGAUUUAUUGAUUGACUGCCAUGUUGUUGCUAGCAAAUACUACAAGUUUUGGUUUUUGAUCUUCCAAAUCAUUCCAUGGGAGACCCGGACUCAAUUUUUCUGAUCCUUCGAGAAAAAAUUUCAUUCUCUACAUAAAGAACAAGAGGUAGAACCAAUAAAGAUUACUUUUUCGAUUCGUCCGUUAACUCAUUAAAGAAUUGUUUUUUAUCCAAACCAUAGGAAUAGAAAGGCAAAUCCCUUAUGGUAUAUGUUUAGUUAUUUUUCUUCUCUAACACGGUCUAACCGAAUAAAGUCCACCUUACCAAACCAAUCAUCAAGAGUGAAAAAGAACUUAAUAAUCUCCAUGCUUACCUGUGAAUUAGAGACGAAAAGAGGAGAAUCGAGCAGAGCUGCAGGGCUAAGACCAGGAGGAAUUGUCAAAUAAGGAGACUGAACUUCUGGAUUCUGAUCAGGCGAUCUGAUGUUUUCUAUAUUCAACCUUGGGGCAUUGAAACCAGCUCUAGCUAUCAUCCUCUCCAUAAGACUUCCUUGAGAGCUCAUAUUUGGCUCAGAUGGUGCAUUUGAUUUGCUCGUCUCAUCACCCUCAACACUAUUUAGCGUCUUAUCCUUUACAUCUAUAUUUCUUGAAGCCACCUGCAUUUCAGGCCCUGUAAAAGGGGUCUGACUUCUAUUAUGACUAUCAGACUCAGCAGUUGAUAUUGCCAAAGGGUCAAAGUUAUACAUUGAUGUGAAAAAAGUUUUUGGACUAGUGAUUGGGGAAGUCCAAUCUCCCAUGAUAGCCACAUAGUCAUCAAACCCACUCAUGAGAAUUCUCAGCCUCUGUAAAUGCUAUCAACUAAAAAUCAGAUCAAAUACGAAAGUAAGAUUUGAAUACAUAAACUGUGAACCUGAAUCAACAGAACCAUAACACUUCAAAUUCAAGUAAAUAUCGACAUAAUGAUAUAAGCAAGAAAAAUCACCAACAAUAAAUGUGGUUCACUUUGGUGUUGGUGGAAGUUUCCUUAAUCUCAUUAAUUUUCACAGAUACGGAAUUAAAACUCAUAGAAUAAAUGCAUCCAACGCCUAUCAAACCCGUUAAUGAUUAGAUUCUUUAUCGCUAUCAGCGUAACCUAAAGGAUAAAACGUAAGAGGUUAUCUUCUCUCUUUCUCCCACCCCCAUUUCCACCUAGUUACUAUCUUUUAGAUUCAACAAGCAAGCCGUUGAGUCGAAUCUUUACUACACAAGUUCACAAGAUUACAUAAAGAUAACUCAAACACAAAGCAAAAAUACAAAGGCAAAUUAUUUUCCCACAAAUUCCCCGCUGUUCAUACUUUCCCUCUCCCGGUCAGAAAAGUUAAAAUUUCAAGAAGAAAAACAGUCAUCAAAGCGGUGAAUGGCCAUGAAUACAUCAUAAACUGUUUACAAACAAUUAAUGAUAUAAAAAUAUUUCCAAAAUCCAUCAAGAAGUAAAACCUAAGUAUUUAAAUUCAAUAAAAUAUCAUCACAUCAACCUGUAGAGCCACAGAAAGCAAUCAGUCACUCAAUCAGAAUUUCCCAUUCUUAAAAAUUUACCCACAUCAAAAACCUUUUUGCAUGGCCGAGCCAAACAAGGUAGACGAUUAUCAUUUAAAGUUGAUAAACAGAUAAGAACAACACCGUUCAUUAAAUUCUGAAACCCAUCAAGAUUGAGAAAACCAAUACUCCAUAUGUACGCACAGAGAUAUAGACAGAUAGACACACACAUGUAGACUGAAUCAUGACUAUAACAAGAGGGGAUGAACUUAAAUUGGGAGGGGGGAAAAACCAUUGAUGAUCUCCAGAAAAUCUAAUUUUCUCACGUAACAUAAUUAGCAAACAAGAAGACAGAAAGAAAAAUAACUACAACCCAAGUUCAAAUUCAAUCAUUGGCAAAUGAACAGCCAAAAAGAUUUAAGGCAGGCGAGUUUAGUACCUGAAGAAAACACAGAGCUAUCAAGAAUGGACCUUUUUCUGACCCUUUCAGACUAAUUUCUUCUUAACAAGAAUUGUCUUUGUCCAAAGAAAAACUCGAAUAGAAAAGACACUCAAUUUCCCUUUUAUAAAUUGGUUUAGCGGUUAUUAAGUAAAUCAGAUUAUGUAAAUAAUGAAAGUAUACAGGACCAGAGGAAAGGCUUUCACACACAGUUUAAUUAUUUUUCUGUAAGUGUAAAAGGCAAUUUUGUCCUGUUGACUUUCGAUGUGGAUAAUAAAUGUUUGACUGAAAAAAGUGAUUAAGAAUUUAAAAUACAGAAACGUUACCGGUUGAUUCUGUGAACAAAAGAGUAAAAUUAGUGCAAUGAAGUAAUUUCUGAUAAAUAACUUGACAUCGGGCAAUGGAAUUGUAACGUAAGAGGUGUGUAGCUUUACGACACGUUGACCUACAAAAUAUAUAAAGUAUACGGAAAAAACAUUAUAGUUUUGACGCUUAUUUUAGAUAUCUCUCUCGAAUAAUGAUAGUGUUUAGUGUGCCACGUAAACCUUCUAGUAGCCGAGAGUUUUUGAGAUAAUCGCCAUGUGUCAUUUUAUGUCAACGUCUCUAUCUCAGAACAAAUCAGUCAUACGGUAGUGACCGCCUAAAAAUGACGGUAUCUCAGUUUGGAUACCUCAAAAAAUUAAAGAAGCCUUGCAUUGUUAUAAUUUGAAUUUGUUAAGUUUAAUAAUUAUGUUAUAAUACUCAUAAAAACUAUAAAUAAAAAAGGUAUAUAAUAUCUUAAAUUCUUUUUAUAACCAAUGAAUAGUUCUAUUUUUAUCGUGUCGACUUGAUAAGUAGUUAUAAUUAUGCUAAAUAAUCAAAUCAUGGAUCUAGUUCAAUUCGUUAAUCUAUUUUUAAGUGGGAAAAAGGGUGGAUACACCUCUCUUCUAAAAUUUGGACAAGUGCCUUUCAUGUGUGUUACUAACGAAAUUUUAGACUACGAUCAUGGAUGAAGGUGGCAAGUAGGCAUGGGCAUUGUUCAUUUUGAUUUUGUUUCCAAGAGAAUUAAAUCGAAUUGAAUGGAAUUGAACCAUAAACCAAUGAUAUUUUUUCAUAAUGAAAACAAUUAUUUUUUUAAGAUAUGGAGUUGAACCAUUCGGUUCUGGUUUGAUUUAAUUAGGUUUAGGUUCCAUUGAUUAAGUUAUCAAAUGAUAAAUGCAAAUUGAAAUCUAUCAUCAUAUCCAUAAGUUAGUAAUCUGUACUUAAAACAUAUCAUACAUUCACCCUUAUAAUUUUUAAAAUUGAAUUUUUUGGUAUGAUUCACUAAAGAAUAAGUCCAUUUCUUAUAACCAAAAUCAUUAUUUCUUUGAUAGAACCAAACCAAACCGCUUGAUUUGAUUUAGUUUUGGUUUAAUCAGAUCAUUUUGUCUACCGCUAGCGGCAAGAAUAAGACCCUGGACCUAUUUGCACUUUUUGUAUAAGUUUGAAACCACAACUGCAUUUUUUCCGAAACAUCAUCCCAUAAUGAUGUUGUAUGGUUAAAUUACUUAUUCUAAUGAUUGAACAUCUUUUUAAUGAGGUCAAGAUUUGUUCAUGUGGCCACCAAUAUUUCAUCCCUGGCAAUGGUUCACAGCUAUACUACCUGCAAAGAAAGGCGAGGCUCACUUCACUUUCUGCCUUCGAAGUGAGAAUUAGAAUUCUGAUGUGAAUAAUUUAUAUACAUCUAUAUAUAACGAACAACGUAUGAAAGUAAUUAAGAACGUGUAAUUGAAAUUAAUCUUUAUAAUGACAAUAGUACAUAGACAUCUAUGAAGGAUACGUAACAAAAUAUAUAAAGAAGAUAGAGGGACAUGUGUUGCAGGAUCUUGAACAUUUAGGGGACAAGUAGCCAAAUGUAAUGUGGGGUUCAUUUUGGAUAGGAGUGGGCGCAGUCCGGUUUGGUCCGGUUCCCGAACCGAAUACCAAUGAGAAUUUUAGAAAUAGAACCGUUGGUUCCAUAGUUAACUGUGGAACUGAACCGGAACCGACCCAAUCGGUUCUGAUUCGGUCUGGUCCGGUUCUUUAUAUUGAAAAUGUCAAAGUAAAAUUUUCACUAAUAAAAACUUUAAAAAUGGUACUAACGUGAUACUUUUAACAAAAUAUAAAAGAACCGAACAUAUUAUUUAAAAAUUUAUUUAGGUAUAGAUUUACAAAGUAAAAACAAAAUAAAAAUCAUGUAAUCAAAGUGAAAACAAAAUAAAAAUUUCGCAUCUUAUAAAUUAAAUUAUAUACUCUAAAUAAAUGUAUUUAGGUAUAGAUUUAUCCAAUAUUCUAAUUUGGCUUGAAAAUCAAUUAAUCAAAAAAUUAUAAGAAGAGAUAAAGAAAGAAUCAAAGAGAAGAAGGAAAGUACUAGAGUCUACAAUUAAGAAGGAACUCGAUUAUUUUUGAAAAAAGUGUUGGAGAUUGAGUCAUAUAUUUUACCCAAAAAAAAAAUCCAAUGAGAACCGUCUGAUUCCCACGGUUUCCAUACUAGAACCGAGAACUGGACCGGUUCCGAUCGGUUCUUAAAAAUUUGUCUUAAAAUCAAAUUAUUUUUUAGAAGAACCGACCGGUUCUAAACGAUUCCGGUUCGGUUGGUGGCCCGAUGGGAGAGUUUGGGUUUUCUUACAAAUAAACGAUGGAUUAAUUAAUCUAAUGAUCUUGCAAAUGCAAACAACUUGAUAAUUAUGGUCGACAAGCAACCGGGUGGGCUGUCUGCUGGCAAAAAGAGAAGUUAGGAGGGGGGUAACCGGAGAGAGGGAAAAGGUCAUCGAGCUCGACCAACCAUGGACUAGGUUAGUUGGUAUGGUGUGUAGAUUUUUUAGCGGCAAGACAAGCAAAAUUCGUGUUGAUGUUAAUUCGAAUGUAUGGAUGUUUAAGCUAGUAUUCAGAAAAAAGUAAAUCGUGGAGCGUGUUACAUUAAUCCUUGUAGGUUCUAAAGUGUUAAGAAUUUCAGAGUUUUUCUUGUUGCUUAACUUAAACUUACUUAAGAAAGGAAGAUUAAAAGAAAGAAAAAGACUCAAAUUUUAACUUUGAUAUCUUUUAUUUGAUUUUCCACUUACGGGAGAGAUAAAUUCACGAUUUUCUAAGAAUAUCUAUUAACAAAUAAGUCAACUAAUAAUUUUUAGAAUUAUGCUAAAGGUACACAACCGUGUACCUAAGGGUGUACCUAAUGUACACCCGGCACCUUGGUAUUGGCCGAGGCGCCUGUGGGCCCCGACAUGGCAGGCGCCUCGACCAAUGCCGAGGCGCCGAGUGUCCAUUGGGUACACUCUUACGUACCACUAGCAAGAUUGUAAUUUUUAUUACUAUCUGAUUAGCUUCAGACAAUUGAACAUUUUUUUUUAAUUAUUUUCUGUCACUUGAUCUAAUUGCAUUCCAUUAAGUAUGAACAAAUUGAUCUUGAAUCUGAAAAAUUCAAUUACUAAUUCGAGAUUAAAUUAUGAAAUAUUAAUUCUUUGUUUGUAAAAUGGUCCCAAUAAUUUAAAGAAAAUUUUACUACUAAGUUUGUUAAUUUGAUAAGCGAAGUAAAAUAGAAACAAGUUAAAUAAAAAAUAAAAAAAUAUGCAAUUUAUAAUGAUUCACUAUUGAUGCGCAGGGGCGGAGCCAGAGAUUUUGUUCAGCGCAGGCAUAGCUACAGUAAUUUUUUUUUUGUCAAAAUUAGUUUAUGAAAGGGUUCGACAAUUUCUUAAUAUUUAUCACAAAUCAAAAUUUUUUCAAUAUAUAUCCUUUUCAUCUCUCACAAAUAAAUCACAAUCCACAACCACGUAUUAUCACAUAUUCUCAAAUUCACAAAAUUCCCAAUUUGCAUAAAUCAUAAACCUCAACAAUCACAAUCAUAAACUCAUAAAACAUAAAUAAUAACUCAUAAAUGAUAAAUCAAUGAACUAAAGUCUAAAAAAUAAAAACCAAAAAAUAAGCAAGAAAAAGGACGAGAGGCAGAGAAUGGAGUCACUGGACUCACAGGAGGCUCACAAGUCAUGGAGAGGCGACAUGAUGGUCUUGGUCGUGGGCAACCGGCACGACAGCUGGUCAACGAGCGGCGCAGCAGAAGGUGUUUGCCGGCUUCCAACUUCCAGCUUUCUUCCUUUGUUAUUUGAAAUGCCAAUUGUAAAAGAAUACAAUAUGUACUAUUAAACCAAGAUCUGGGCCAACUAAUUUUUCUAAAACAAGAGGUCCAACACUGCAAAAGAAAUGGCCCAUAAUUAAGAAAAUGCCCAAUCCACUCUCCUUCAUCUUCCAAACUCAACACUUUUCAACUGCCGUCAAGUUUCUUAUCAAUGGCCGCUGCCUGCUACUGUAAAUUCUUUCGUCUUGGUCCUAUCACCAGUGCAGGCAUAAUGGAAUUUUCUGUGUCAACCCCAAAGUCCAGCGCGGGCAGGCGCCUGCGCUGGACUCUAUGUGGCUCCGCCCCCUGUUGAUGCGAGAACUACCUCCAUUUACUACUAUUGAAUUUAAUUGUCGAUGAAAUAUAUUAGAAUGUUGUAUCUGAACUCGCAGCUUUAAGUUAUUUUCUUUAUAGAACAGGGAAUAUAAAUCGAAAUGUGCAUGUUUCAUGCGCAUUGGGACAAAUAAGACGAGGGCAAACUUGAAAUGGACCAAUGUCGGAUAAUACAUAGGUUUUUAGACAAAUACCAUAUUAAAUGAAAAGUAUUUUGAAAGUAGAGCAUAUGUCGUAAGGUUGAAUUUUUCAAUUAAAGUCUCAUGAUGUGCAGUUUUUUCGUGAUAGUUAUUUUAUUAUUACUCACAAAAUAAUUGUUUAAAAUAUUUAAAAAUGAGCCAAAAAUAUUUUAUCACGGCGCUAUGAACGUAGGAUGAUUGUAAUACAAAUCAGACGGCGAAGGAAGUGGCGACGAUGGCCAUUUCUUUGAUUUUUGGAAUAGAGAGUGAUUUGUGGUGGUGGCUUUAUUGUAGAAGGGAAAGGGAAGGAUAUGGAAGUGAGUAUUGUAAUAGAGGUAGUAAUGAGAGAGAAGUGAGAAGUCGAGACAAUAGCGGUUAUCAGAUAUUGUCACCUCAUCCACAUACUGUUGUCACCGCUCAACCGAAUAGUGCCCAUACAACGUAGAGAAGAAAGAAAAGGGCAAAUGUCUUAAACCUGAUUUUGAUGGGUUUUUCUUUUGGGUCGGGUUGGAUCCUCUUGGGCUAUAUAAGGUGGGCUGGGAAAAUUGGUGAACUAAAUUAAUUGGAUCUGGUUGUAUCUACUUGAUGGGUUGUGAAAGAAAAUUUCUCUAGGAGAUUUUACAACAUGCAACUAACGUUGCAAGUGAAUAUUUUUGCAACACUAAAUGAAUGUUGCAAAAAAAUGUUGGAAUAAUUAAUAAUUCCAUAUGUGGGCUUCACAUUCGAUUGCAAAUUUUACGGGUUAGAUGUAUGACUCAUAAUGAUAUUUGUAUUUGGACCAAAUUUAUUAAGUGAUCAAUUGGGACUUUUACACAUUUCGAGUUGUAAUUAAUUCGAUGUGGUAAUUAAAGUAUGUGAAUCGGAAAUAAACUCUAAUUAGAAUUCUAGUCAUAAUGGGACGGUUCAAUUAUUUUCUAUAUAAAUGCUAGGUCCCCUCUACUCUCCAUAUGUUUUAUUGGCUUGCCCCAUUAAUAGCUAAUACUUUUGUGAGGAGCAAAGAGGGGAAGAUCUUGAUUACUAUUAUAACUAUUAUUCAUAUUAACAAUGGUUUCCGUAGGUAUGAAUUCGUUUUUUAUUAAUUUAUUAUAUGGUGAUUCUAUAUUCUUAGCAUGAUUACAAUUAAAAUUUAACAAUUGGUAUCAGAGCCUUCGUGCUGAGAUUAGAAUCCCUAAUAAAACAAUAUGUUUUCUCGUUUUCUGCCUGAAUAAUCAAAAAGUUGACUUUUUAUAUUUGUUAUUUUUCUAACAAUUUGAGAUUUUAUACACACACACACACAAACACACACAUACACACAUAUACAGAUAUGCACAUAAGAAAACGUGGUUUUCAAUUAUGGAGUCUGUUACCUGCUUGAUAAAUAUGUAGGAUUGAUUUUCUUGAGGAAAUCAUCUCAGAUGCGAGAAAUAUAUAUAAUGUGUGAAUCUGCUUAAUUAAUUUAUAGUAUGACCGUGCAAAAUAAAAAGGGGGGGGGGGUGGAAUUUUUACAUAAGUUGAUUGGUGGCAGCAUGUUGCUACCACAUGGUUUAAGCGCCGACAGGCACCGUCGGCUUGAGCGGCGCCAGUGCAAGAAAAAAAAGAAAUUUCAGUUUAUGUGGGAAAAUCGGCCAAAGGUAGGCGGGGGUUUUUGUCGUAAAUAACCAAUCUUCAAACCCCUGUUUGCAAUUAUCAAUUGGGGGUCAUAUUGUAAUUACUUAAAUAAGGACCUUCCAUGCAAUUUUAAAUAUGAAGGACGUGAUUUUAAUUUGUGUUUAGUAUUAAAAUGUAAUUUUCAAUAAGGGGCUCUUAAAUUUGAACUUCUAAACUUUUGACCCUAAAAUUUUAUUUUUGAUCAAAUUAAAACUUUAAUUGAUAAUUGACCCGAUUAAAAUAUAUUAAAAAAUAAUAAUAAUAAUUUGAUGGACGACUUUUAUAUUUUUCAUUAAAUUGUAUAUGUAUUUAAAUAUUGCCAUUAUUUAUGCAUUUAAAUUUCAUUUUUUGAAAUUUUGUUGUCAAUUUCGUCUCUCAAUCACAUAUGAAUUUUUGUCUUUCAUCAAUUAAUAAUUAUGAUUUGUUGCGUAAUUAUUGUUAUGUGAUUGAAUUUUUAUGGAAUUUGAGACGAUCCUUAUUUUUCCCACAAAGAGAAAUAUUUUGAAAGUCAAAAUCGAAAAUCGAGGUUAACUGAAUCGAAUGGAGCGAAAAAAAUCGAACCGAUGGUGCAAUGGGGUGGAUAUGAUUUUUAUUUUAAUGAACCGGUUCGUGGCAGUGCGGGUGUGGUAUUUACGUCAUCGAACCGAAACCGAACCGAUUACUUGCUAAAAAAAAAUAAUAAAAAUAAUUGAAUUGAUUAUUGGGCUUUACACUACUUUUCUAUCUAGCCCAAAACAAAAUCCCCCCCAUUACAUCUACCUGACUCAGCCGGUCAACCCACUUAUCAUUAGGCCAUAAUAAUAGUAUUAGUAUGACAGUAUAUAAAUGCAAACCAUACUCUCUACAAACCACAAACUCACACACGACUCCUUUUAUUGUUAAUUUUUUUCUAUUAUAUGUAGAAAAUUCUAUUUCUUCAUCAUACUUUAAAGCUUGUGCAACGUUUAGCGAGAAAGAAGCUGACGAAGAGGUACAUUUUUUUAUUUAAAUCUUAGUUAACACCAUUCUGAAAGAAGUAGUAUCGUUGUAUUCUCUACUUAUAUUUCUUAUUUACUAUAUAUGAAUCAACUUUGAGUGUUGAUCUAUGCUAGUAAGACUUGUGUGGAAGAAUGAAUCAAGUAAGUUCGAUGCACAACAAUUAAGAAUGAAUGAAAAGUUUAGUAUUGUUAUAUUUAUAAUAUUGUUUAUUAAAUUUGUAUUUUACAAUUGAAAAUUGGGAUAAUGUUUGCAUUUUCGUUUGGAAUAUUGUGAUUUUGUUUUCAUUGACUUUUUUCAUAAAUUGUUUUAUAUCAAUUUGACGGAUGAACUUAUAAAAAAUAAUUUAUUUUCGUGGUUAUUAACCGAACCGAACCGAACCGAGAUACGAACUGAACCGAUUUACGUGGUUAUGGUGCGGUUAUGGUAUGGUAAGAAAAUUAGUGGUGUGGUUAUGGUUUUGGCCGAACCGACCCAUAACUAAACCGUUGCCAACCCUAAUCUUGGCCAAAGGUGUUGUUAUAUGUGAUAUUUUUGAAAAAUAGCAUAAGUCCGUUAACGAGCUUAUUUUUGUUUAGAAAUUUCCUUCUGCCCAAAGGUGUUGGAAUUUUGAAAACCAAUGUAAUUUUGUUAACUAGCUACAUAAUAUAUUUUAAGAGUACCUUAUAACAUGUUGUAUUGUCGGCCCAAAGAUGACUUUACAAUGAUACAUCUAGGCUCUUACCGUAAUGAAAUUCAUAUGUUUCGAUUCAAAUUACGGAUUAUCUGAUUAAUAGCCCAUAUUAAUUAGUUGGAUAUUACAUCAUCCAUUUGAUUGCAUGCAUUACGUUUGGAUGAUAUUAAGUGAUUUAUUUUAUGCUUUCACAGUUUAUAAUGCCCCAUUUCUUUCAAAUCAAUUGUCUGCUAUUGAAAUUUUGACUGGAAAUAAUUAUGUGAGAUGGAAAUGAGACGUAGAAAUAGCACUUGGUCUUUUGGACUUGGAUUUUACAAUGGAGAAAAAGCUUGAAAAACCCACAGAUAAGAGUACUGCUAAAUAUGUAGCUGAGCAUGAAAAGUGGGAAAGGGCUAACAAACUCUAUUUGAAAAUCAUUAAGCGAUCAAUAUCUGAUUCCAUUCUAGGUGCCAUCCCUGAUAAUGAAAAUACCAAAAAUUUUAUGGAUACCAUAGGAGAAAAUUUUGUUGAGUUUGAUAAAGCCAAAACUGGGGAUCUAAUGGAUAAAUUGAUGAGCAUGAGAUAUGAUGACACAAGUGGUGUCAGGGAGCAUGUCAUGAAAAUGAUAAAUAUAUCAUCUAAGCUAAAGGCUCUUGACAUUCCCAUUGCGGAGCCUUUCCUGAUCUAUCAUGUUUUGAAUAGCCUUCCUAGCAAAUUUAAUCAGCUUAAAAUUACUUAUAAUGCUCAGCGGGAUAAAUGAAAUUUGAAUGACCUCAUAGCAGUAUGUGCCCAAGAGGAGUAUAGGAUGCGCCGUGAAACUGUUGAAACUGUGCAAUUAGCUUUUCUACCAUCAUAGAAUAAGGGGUCUUUUCAUAAUCAUAAACCUAAGUUUUGUAAGGAUAAUAAGUCCUACCGAAGUCAGCAGAAUAAAAAUUUUAGUGGUCCCAAAGGAGUUAUAAAGAAAAAUGAUCAAUGCAAGUUCUCUAAAAAGAACGGUUACUGGCAGAAAGACUGUUUUAAGUUCAAGACUUGGUUGGAAAAGAAGAAGAGUUCUCCAGGUAUUCCCUUGGCCUUAGUUUGUUUCGAGUCUUCUUUAGUAUAUGUGCUUUUGAAUUAUUGGUGGUUAGACUCGGGAGCUAGUAUUCAUAUUGCGAAUUCCUUGCAGGGGUUCAUAAGCAAACGGAGGCCAAGUGAGAAUGAAAUAAGUUUGAGCAUUGCAAAUGGAUUUCAAGUGAAGGUUGAAUUCAUAGGAAUAGUGAAGUUAACUUUAGAGUCUGGUUUUUAUCUUGUUUUGGAAAAUACAAUUUAUGUACCGCAGAUGAGACGAAAUUUAAUUUCUAUAUCGAAACUUGAUGCUUGUGGUUUACAUUUAAUUUUGGUAAUGCAAUGGUUAAGUUAUUUAAUGAUUCUCAUUUGAUUGGGAAUGACAUUUUAUGUGAUGGUUUAUAUAAAUUAUCUUUGACUUCUUUUGGUGAUAUCUCAUGUGUUACCAAUGUAUCAAAGAAAAGAACUUUAAUUCGUGAAUCAUCUUCUAUGUUGUGGCAUAAGUGUUUGGGUCAUAUCUCUAAGGAUAGAAUGGAAAGAUAAGUAAAAGAUGAGAUACUUCCCUCCUUAAACUUCUCCGAUUUUGACACCUGUAUAGAUUGUAUAAGAGGAAAGUUAACUAAGUCUACAAGGAAGGGUUUGACUAGAAGUAAUGGAAUUUUACGGGUUAGAUGUAUGACUCAUAAUGAUAUUUGUGUUUGGGCCAAAUUUAUUAAGUGAUCAAUUGUGCCUUUUACACCUUUCGGGUUGUAAUUAAUUUGAUGUGGUAAUUUAAAGUAUGUGGGCCGAAAAUAAACCAUAAUUAAAAUUCUAGUCGUAAUGGGAUGACUCAAUUAUUUCCUAUAUAAAGGCUAGGUCCCCUCUCCUCUCCACAUAUUUUAUUGGCUUGCCCCAUUGAUAACUAAUACUUUUGAGAGGAGCAAGGAGGAGAAGAUCUUGACUGCUAUUACAACUAUUAUUCAUAUCAACAAUGGCUUCCGCAAGUAUGAAUUCGUUUUUUAUUAAUUUAUUAAAUGGUGAUUCUUGAUUCUUACAAUUAAAAUUUAACAAAAAAAAUCAUAUCAAUAGUUUUAGCAAUAGGCACCAAACGUCGCUUAAUAUCAUCAUUGUAAAAGGUUUUAGCAACAUACAACGAACAUUGUUAACAAAUAUGUUUCCGCAAUUAAGUCAACGACCGUUGUGAAAGAGUCACAUAUUAAUUGUUCAGCAACAUGCAAGAAAUGUUGCUAUUGGAUGAGAUUUUAACAACGUUCAUUGAACAUUGCAAAAUAUGUAAAUUUUUUGGAGCAGUCAAUGAAUAAUUCAAAACGAGACAUUAACAAUAUUCAUUUAAAAAAUAUUGUCAAAUCUCAAUUAUGUUAAAUAAUGACAAUAAUAUACACUUAUUAGUAUGUUGCGAUAGACACUUUAUAAACACUCAGUUAAUGAAAUAAUGUCUUUUGAGUAUUGUAAAAAGUCAUUUUUGUUGUAGUGACAUUAUGUAAUUUUCUAAUUAAAUAGGUAAAUUUUAAAAAUAAUACCCAAACUUGCUCUAUGAAAAUAAACCAACAUGCUUUAUUGUUUCCCUUCAUCACUUCAUGACGUCGUCGUAGCCGUUGCCGUCGCCAUCGCAUGGAAUCAGCCACCUACAAUCACCCUAAUUCGAAACUUUGAGUUUGCACUCAAGUUAAAACAAAAAUGAAACUUGAGAUUGACAUCGAAGAAGAAUGAGCUUAGCCGUAGAUGUUCUAAUUUUAAUAAAAAAAUAAAAGUCACAUUACAAAAUAUGUAAUCAUUCUUAAUGCACAGCCCGUAGAAAAAUAGAACAAAGAUAAAAUAAUCAAGUAGAAGCAGAUAUUCACAGUAAAUAAUCAAGGGAGAUAAACAUGCGAUGGCGAUAUGUUAUAAGAUAACAUACAAAUAUCUUUUCAAAAGCACGUUUACACAGAACCAUAGAUUAAUACCAAGUUAAUCAAACACAAGGUCAAACACAUAUGCAACAAAUGCAUAAAUGACCCACUAAAAGAUCUCAACAGGCUUGUCCUAUCCCAUUCCGUGUUGUUCACACCUCGAGAAUACAUAUCUCUUCUCAUCGCUCACUAGACUGAUCACUCAACUCAUAUCUAACUGGUAAGUCACAAUAGAUCCUAAGUCCACGAGAUAAUCCUCUAUCAUCACAUCACUUCUCCAAACCUACGUGGAUAAUGGGUCUCUAUCCAACAGAAGUGAUAGAAGUAUCUCUCUCACACUCCACAUGUACAGAGUCUCUUCACAGAUAAAGAAUUUCAACAUUUAAUCACUUCUACCCUCGUAAUCCAAAUGUCACACUCUACAUCUCCCAUGCAUAUCACCAAUGCACCUUCAGACAUCUAUACUCCACCUUACCAAUAGACACUCAACACGCUGCUAAUGUAUCUCAAACUCAUAAUGGCAAAAUAACACCUUUCCACGAUCUCAAAGGUUAGGGCUCAAUUUGAAAGUUAACCUACGCACCACAAGAUUACUCCAAUCACCAAUGCUACCAAAAAAAAAAAAAAAAAACCCACUAAGGAAAUGACGAAGGUGGUACUCGUAAAGAGAAUAGAGAAAAAUGUUAGUUACUUCACUAUACUCACAAAAGAGGAAGAAGAUAACCCUACAUGGCCGCCUCAAACAAUCUCACAAACCGAAGGGACUCACAAAAAUAAAGGAGAAAAUGCAUGCACAGUCCGCCGGUGGUGUCCGUUUCUCCAACCUCUUUUUGGUUUUGCCGAAAAAUGCUAAUACGGGUCUAGUCAGAAAUGCAAAAAUCUGGACAGAUUCGACCUUUGUUUUUUGCCCCUUUUCAGAUCCUUUUUUGGCCAAUUUCCAAUCAGAUUUAGCACCCAAAAAUCACAUAUUUCUCGAAAACACAAGCUCUGAUACCAUUGUCGCGAAAAUCCCUUGAAAAAUCUUGAUUCGGGCUCAGUUUCAUCAACCAAACGAACACCGAUCAAGCUUUACUCGACCCAAAACUCCCACUUCAUUGCCACAAGUCUUCGUGAUUGAUUUGCAGCCCACAAAGGAAGAGGAAAUAGAGUACCAAUUAGAACCUCAAGGAAGAAGAACCAAACCGGCCAAAAAACUCACGUGUUUCCUCUCUUUCUCACAAGACCAAUACGCAAGAAAAUGGCUUGGGAAUAAGUGUAUAUAUAACGGGUUACUUUAGGUUAACUAAUGGGCCAAAGCGUAACUGCGCCAACAAUCCAAAUACCCAAUAUAUCAUCCCAAUACAAAGCCACGACUUGGGCCAUCCAAAAGUGUUGGUCCACGAGUAACAUUAACUCAAUUAAAUUGCUUCAAAUGGCCCUAAAUUGUUUUUGGGUCGAGCUAUCACCGAGGUAUCGAUAUAACUUAUUCAAUAUCGGUUUAACAACAUCGCCUGGAUUUACUGGGUAUCAAAAACCCAACAAACAUGAAGAACAUUUGCAUCAUUUUUGGCGAAUUUUAGUGCCUUCUUGUGUUUAGCACCCACAAAAUAUUUGUUUCGUUUUUUUUUUUUUUUUUUUUCCUUCCAAAUAAAAAACAACACCAAAAUCAUUUAAUUACUAUUACAUACUUAACAUGAGACACUUGUAACAAUGAAAGUUAUAGUUAACGCAAUCCCAAACGGGGGAUAUUGAAUUAUUAUCAAACUUGAACAUGCUUUUAAAUACAACUACUUAGCAACUACCUCAAUUUAUUUUAUUCCUGGACAAUUACUCAGAAAAGAAGGAUGACCAAACAACAACUAUCGUACUAUGAUAAUAUGCACAUAAAGCUUAUUCCACGAUAUGCAUAUAUGGUAUAUACAAGAAAAGCAACGAUAUCCAAAUGCUCAACUGGUUUAACAAAAUUAAAAUAAGGUUACUUCAAAUCCUAACUCGACAAUAGUACUAGUAUUGCUUAAUAACCCGUGAUAUUGCAUAUUAAAGUAACACAAGUCAACCAUUUCAAAUGACUUAAUUGCAAAUGAAAAACCUAUCGACGAAAGCAAAACUCAAUGAUUUCCUUGCCUCAAUGAAGUUUAUAAGGUAAAACUUAGUGCAUUCACACUCAAAGAAGUUCAUACAUAACCUAUGCACAUGAACUUUGUAAAUUCCAAAUGGAUGAAAUUAGAGAAUAUGAAUCAACAUAAUAAAUAGAAAAAAAAAAAAGGAAAAAGAAAACAGCAACUAAGGAUCAAGUUUAACCUUAGAUUAUCGGGGAUCCUAAACAAUACUUUUCUUUUUCUUCGACUUUAAAGUUCCUUUAAUAUUUUCAUGUUUCCUUUUAGUAGCCUUCAAUUCAAAAAUGGUAGUUUCAAAUGUUGAUGACGAAUGAAGACUAUGUAUAGAUUAAAAUCAACAACAGAAGAUAAAUACAGAUUUGGUUAAAAAAUUUAAGAAAAUUGAGAGAAGGUAGAAUUGAACUAAAAAGGAUGAAUAUACAGUUAGUUGUUCAAGAAUUGAUCAAAUUACAGAGUUAAAUUGAGGAGAAGACGAUCAUCCAACAUUUUAAUUGGUUAACUUGCAGCUUUUUUUGAUGAAAACCAUUAGAGGUCCUUUCAGCACACAUUUAUCAAAUAUUUGGAUUUGUGUUUCACAUUUAUGAAAGAUUUAGGACCCCUGAGGCAAAUUUGCUUAUAUUAAUUAAUUAAAGGUUAAAGAACCAUUUUACCCUUUUAUAAAAUUGAUCUCAUCAAACACUUGAUUUUUUGGUCGAGUAAAAUAUUUAUAGUAUAGUUGAAAGGGUAGUUAUAUCCACAGCAAAUUUUUUUCUAUAAAUACACAAUAUUUUAAUCACAUUAAAAUUUAGUCAUAUUACACUUUUAACCCGAACAUUUUUCCUCGUCACAUUCUUACUUUAGCAUUUCAUUGGUUAGAAAAUCCUAUUCUUACUCAUGAAUUUCAUCCAAAAAUAUUGUUAACUAGAUUUAAAACGAGGGUCAAAUAUUUAAUUGUAUUUUUUUAUUAUUAUUUUUUUUGCUUAUUAAAAAAUACAAUGGACAAUGACUCAUUUUACUCUAUUUUAAAGAAAAUUUCGAAAAAAAAAAUCAUAAUUAGAAACAAUUUAUGUUAAAGUUGAGAGUAAGAAUGUGAUGAAAAAACCUAUGUAUGAAAUGGCAAGGUUUUUACCUAAAGAACCCUAAGUAUUAUCCAUUUUGGCCCAACUCAUUUAACAGGGUCAUAAUUUUUCAAGUGGAAGUUACACCACACUACUUUAAAAAUUCAACAUUCUAAAAUCAGGUUGGAAGUCUCAAAAUUCAAAAAUCAAAAUCUUUUAUAUUAAUUAUUUAAAUAAACUUUGAAUUUCUCUCUCUAUUCUCUACACUAUUUCCCCUCUAUGUCUAACAAUUUCAAACCUAAAAGUUUCAUCCCUUUUCUCCGUCUCCCUUCCAUUUCCCCCUCUUCUUCUCAUUUCUCUUUGUCAGCGGCGCACGAAAAGCAACCAGUACCCACCAUCGUUGUCGCAUAUCACCACUGUCCCUGCUCACUCUCUCUCUCUCUCUCACACACACACCCCUUUCUUCAUCCUCCAUUCUCUGUCUGUCAUCGUCAUGCCAAGGUCACGCGAAGCUACCUUUAACAGUCGCUACGUGCGACUCGAAGUGGCACCUCGCUAAUAGAAUGCUAUGUAGCUAUGAGUGGCACUCACAAACUAUGCCACAACAUGCAAUGGGGAUAUUGCGCCACAGUCGCUGCAAUAUUUUGUGGUGGUUUCUCUGGUCUACUGCUUUACUGAAUUUUUGGUGUGUUUUUUGUUGGUGAUAAUUGCGGGUUUGGGGGUUUUUGUUGGGAGGUGGUGACUAAAAUGUGUGGUAGUGCUCUAUGAGGUGGUGGAUUCUAGCAGGCGGUGGUGGUUGAUUGAAGUUGCAAAUGAAGGUGGAUGUGGUUGGUAUUUGUUGAAGCAGGCGAAUUUAGAGUAGAUGUGGCAACAAUGUAUUUUGUUAUGGUGGUGUUGACAGCGGGAUGGUGGUGGUGGUGAGGUGGCUGUCAGUGGUUGUGUGUGGGUGGCAUGGUGGUGGCUGUCACGGUGGUUUCGGGCGUCGAUGGAGGUGGUUGUUAAUGGCUGGAGAUUUAUUAGUAGUGGUUGUUGUGGUCUUUGUUGGCAGUUGAUUUGAUCUAAUGGUGGUGAUUUUGUUAGUGGUGAUGUUGUGGUGUUCAUGUUAGUGAUGAUGGGUGCGAUGGUGGUGGUAGUUCUGGUGACGAUGAUGGUUGUAGUGGUGCUAGAAGUAGUGGUAAGAUGGUGGUCACAAAUGUUAGUUGUUGUCACAAAUUAUUUGGUUGACUGUAACCAUUAAAUUAGUUAAUCUGUAAUCAAUAAAUAAAUGUGACCAAUAAAAUAUAAAUUAUGACCAAAAAAUAAUGUGUGACCUAAAAAUUGUUAAUCUGUAGCCGAUAAUUUGAUAAUUUGUAACUUAUAAUAUUUGUAAUUUGUGACCAAUAAAUAAAUUGUGAUUUAUAAUUUUUUUUGUAUUUGUAAUCGAUGAACAAAUUGUAACCUAUAAAAUUUUUGAAUUAAAACAUAAAAUUUCUGAUUUGUGACCAAAAAAUAAUAAGUGAUUAACUAAAUCGUUAAUUUGUGACCAAACUAUAUAGAUAUUCGACCUAAAUAUAUUUAGUUAAUAAAAUAAAUAAAUAAUUAAAUCAUAAUUAAAUUUUAAUAAAAAUCUGAUUUUUGAAGUUUGAAACUUGUUUUCUUGAUUUUGAAAUGUAUGAUACUUAAACUCUUAUUUAUGAAUUUUUCUCAUUUUUCAAUCACAUGGCAAAAAUAAAAAUAAAAUUUGAUUAGCGACUUGAAAUAAAUGGGACAAAAUAGUCUAAUUUUGUUUAAAAUUAUAAAUGGUAUUAAUAUUCUGUCUUACUAGAAAGUUACAAAUAAUUCUUAUAAAAAAGAACGGUUAUAAAAUAGAGAGAAGAAGAGAAAAAAUUAGAGAUUUUUCAGUAGACUUGUGUUUUAUUAAUAAUCAAAGCCUCAUAUUUAUACAAAAAUUAAAGUUACAAGGGAUACAAUGGUAAUAAUAACUAAAUCUGUAUGAGUAUAAUUGUCGUUCAUAAAUACUACUAUAUUUACAACACUCCCUCUUGAAUUACUAUUUACACAAUAAUUAUCUCACCGAAAUAUUGUUUGGCAAAAAAUUCAAUGGGAAAAAAAUGUCAACAAAUGAAAAAGUUUAUAAAUAAUUUGAAGUAACAAAAUGCUGCAUCGUUAAAACAUUGUUAAGAAUGCUCAAUGAGAUAAAACUUGAUCGAAGAAAAAAGUAUAGCUACUCUCUCUGAUUUCAAUUCUUGUAUCAAUUCAAAUUUGUCUUGUAUAUCAAUGUUUUCAAUAUUGCAAUUUCUAGUGAAAUAUGUCUCACGUUGUCUUGUAUAGUUUUUAAAAAACACUUUCUUCACACAAGAUAUUUACAACCUUUGAUGAUCAUAGUAACAUGAUGAUUUGACAAAUAACUUUUAUUAAUCUUUUCGGGAGUCUCAUAAAUAUAAAAAUAUUAUUUUGAAGGUAAAUGUCUUAUAUGUUAUGGUCGUUAAUUACAAAAAGAAUAUGUCUCGUUAAAUUCAUAUUGGAAAAAAUCCUAUGUGAAAAAAUAGAAUGAAAGAAAAAGAGUAAGGGUUUGUUUGGUAGUGAUUUGGAGAAUUGAUUUUUUGACUAUUACAGAAAAAGUGGGUUCUACCUAUUGAUUUUUUUGGAGAGAAAAAUCAAUACCAAACAUGCACUAAAUUAUUUUUUUGAGUAAACUACAAAAAGUCGUCAAAAAAAAAUCCAUUAGAACAAAACUAAUAUCGCUUGAAUUAUGCUUCAGGCAUAUUAAAUUUUUCAAAAAUAUUAAAAAUUUAAAACCAUACAAAAUAAAUUGGCUAUAAUCACAUUCAUAUCAAAUUUUAUACAUUGUCAGAUUAAUAAAAUAGAGACUUGUGAUUACAUUCACUACAUAAUAAUUUAUAUACUUAUACAAGUAUUUGCAAAAUUCAUUAUGUAAAGAAUCGUACAUUUCAUAUUACGACUUUAUUUUUUCCAUUUUCAUUUCAUAUAAAUAUACACUUUUAGGUUUUGGGACUACAGGUCUAGAAACUUCAGAUUUCUCUAGUAAGUUCAAUUUUACUAGGAUUGCGUCCUUUAGUUGGCCAAUUAUUUUUUUCGAUCAAUAUGUUUCGACAAAUUUAUUUCGAUUCCCAAGUUAUUCAUAGAUGAUGCAGUACAAGCGCAAAAAUGUAGUCGACAACUUUUCUUUUUUAAUUCUAUUUCUUUUCUCAUACCCACAUAACUUAUUAAAAUCUAUCAAUUUUUUAACAUAUCAUAUACCUAAACUUUCUCAAAUUUUACUUUUUAUUAUGCAUAUAUAUACUUUACAAAAAUAUAUGCCUCCUAAAUGAGAUCAUCUUUAUAAAUUGCUCAAUUUUCAUUUGAAUUUUUUUUUUAAUAUUAGAAUCGAAUCAUCACACUUGAGACGUACCAUAAUAUUAAUGAAUUGUCCUCUAGAACAUUAAUUCGAGUUGAAGCAUUUAAGACUGGCGUAUAAGAUAUUGUUCAUCUGUAAAUGUAUCAAAAUGAAGUAUCUUUUGAACUUCUGAUUUGAACUUAUUUUUUUUACGAGAAUCUAGAUGAUAUUAGAAUGCUCAUUUUGUGUAUAAUUUUCAGCUUUUUAAAUCAUUCCUCUAAUGCUGAAAGAAUUGUCUAAUCAAAUUGGCAAUCAGCUAAUCGUGUUAUAAAAUAUUGCUUAUUUGAUAUAAGGACUCAAAAUAUGUAUUCAUUCUCAACUUUCUUUACAUUCCAUCUCAGUGUAUUAUGGUGGAUAAAUCGUACAUGUAUUGCAUUAUCAAAAUAAUUAGAUGAAAAAAUUAGGCUAUGACUAUAAGUCAAUUACAUUACGAAGAACUAUGGUAUUAGCAUGAUGCUUAAUAGAAUACCAAAACAUAAGUGGGAGCUUUUUUUUUUUCUCAAUACUAAUGAUUAAGAAAUUAAUUGGAAGCGUUUAACAUACAAUAUUAUUAAAUGAUUUAUAGACAUCACGACUAACACUUAUUAAAAUGUUGAGAUUUAUGCUCACUAGUAUUAACAAGACACACAAUCUUAAUUGUAUAAUCUGAAAAUUAUGUUUAUAAUUUAAAAUUUGAGCCACAACGUCACAAACUUCAGGUUGUGAAAACCAAGCAAUCAUCUAGUAGAUGUAUUGAAUCUAUUACAUACAAUUAACAUUUAGAUGGUCAACGUGGCCUCAUAUAUCACCCAUAUUAAUAUAGAGAGUUCACUCCUUAUAUUAGCUAGCGAUUAUCAAUGAUUUAUUUUUCAAUAAAGAGAACAAAUAAUGUAUAGGAAUUCAUUGAAUUAAAGAAUCUUCUAGUUCUUUGUUGAAUGUACAUUUGAAUUUUCAUUUCACAUCAUUAUUGAUCCAGUGAUUAUCUAACUAUGCAUAUCAAACAAUAAAAUAUAAAAGUUAUUGAACUUCAGGUUCAAUAGAAUAUUUAUCAAAAUGGUCACUGGAGUUUAGUAUAAUGUACCGAUGAAGAAACACUUUUAAAAGCUUUGUAGAUUUUUCUUUUAUUUAAUGGAGAUCAAAUUACUAGCAAUAGUAAGUUUAUUUCUCAAAACAGUAUUUCUCAAAAAUAUUUAUAUUAAGGGCAUAUUUGAGCCACAUUUUUUCAAAAAAAUACAUUUUUAAACAGUGAUUUGACAUCAUUUCAACAACGCAUUCUUUAAUAAAAUAAUAUUACAUGCAAAUAAAAAACUUUUCCUUAUUUUUUAACAACACAUUUUCCAUCAAUACACUAUUCAAGAAUGCAUUAUCACCAAAAUAAUGUGGCUCAAAAACCCUCUAAUAAAAUAUUACUUCUUUAAAAAAAAUUAAUUGAAAUUACAAUUAUUAAAAUCGAUAUAAUAUUUACAUUAAAAUGUCUAAAAUGAUUCCUCAAAAAUAGCCACAUAAUAUUCUUCAAAAGUAUCAAUGAAUGUAAAAUUUUGUUUCUUUUAAAGCGACACAUAUUCUUCUACAAUAUUGAUCUGUACUAAUUGAUUCAAACAAUUGUGCAAUAUGUUUAUAAAAUAUUUAAAUGUCUUAAAUCAUUUCGUUCAGGAAUAAUAAUAAUAUCAUGUUCAUCAAGAGUAAUAACAUAUUAUUGUUUAUAGUAAUAAAUUAUAUAAGGAUUUACUCUUAAUGAGUGAAAGCAUAAUUUAUAUUAGAUCAUAUAUUAUUAUGCUCUUCGAGAGUAAGAAAAAUCUAAUUAGAAUAUUAAUGGGAUUUAUAAUAUGCUACUUCGAGAGCACACUAUAUUUUAUUAUUGCCUUUUCAAGAGCAAUAUGUCAAUAUUCUAUUGAAAAAUUGAAAAUUAUAAUCCAUGCUCUUCAAGAGCAAAUAAUGUUCUUAUAGAAUAUUAAUUAUAAUGUUACACUACUUCAGGAACAAUAACAUGAUGGAUUAUCAAUUUAAAGUUUAUAAAAUAAUAUCUAAAAAUAUUUAAUUAGUUUAAAAAUAUUAAUUAUCAUAUAGAAAGGAUAUGACAUAAAAAGUAAUUGCCAAGCAGAUAGGAUAUGAAUUUAUAUGCAAAAAUUAAUUACGAAACAUGUAUUAGGAAAAAAAAUCUUUUAUAUACAAAAGUUAAUAGAAUUGACUAAAUAUUUUACCAACAUACAAAAGAUACUAAAUGUGCACAUGAAUUCCACGUAUACAAAAGUUAAAGGCAAAAAUAACUUCAAAAAAAAUUUCACAUCCACAGAAGUUGAAGGCCUGAAUUCUACAUCUCAAAAGGCAUGAAUUGGAUGCGNNNNNNNNNNNNNNNNNNNNNNNGGGGGGGGGGGGGGGGGGGGGGGGGGGGGACACGUCUCCAAAUUGAUUUCGGUACAUGUGAUAAAAAAUUAUUAACAUCUAAUAAAUUAACUUUGAUUAUGAAAUAAUUGAGCUAAUAAUGUGUUAUAAAAAUAGAGAGAAAAAAAAAUAGAGAAGUCAAUAAAUUUGUGUGUUUUAUCAAUAAUUAAAACCUAUAAUUAUAGAAAAAUUAUGGCUACAAAGAAUAAAACAGUAAUAUUAACUAAGGCUGUAAAGAUAUAAUUGUCAUUCAUAAAUAUUACCAUAUUUACAACAAGAAUAUUAUCAUAAAAUGAUAGAUAUGAUAAACGAUAAAUUAAUCUUGAAACAUUACACACAACAGUUUAUCAUUAUGAUAAAUUUACACACUUAAACCCUAUAUGGUUUAGCUAAAAAUCGAUUUUCAAUAGAUUUUGUUCAAAAUUGAUGUAAUAUGAUUGAAAAGUUGAUAAAAGUUGACAAACAGGGGCUUAAACUUUUAGUUGCUAAUUCUCUUCCACUUUUACUUGAGCUGGACCUUGAAGACAGAGGAAGCAUUUAACAAAACUGCCUUGUGACUUGACGAACACUGGGUUGCAAUCUCUAGGCUCGUCUCAGCAUCUCAUCUCUGUCAAUUCUGUGCACUAGACUGAAUUAUCCGGUGCCUUUCUGAGAGAUCCAAUAGAAUUAAUCUCGACCUUCAUCAUUGCAUGAGGUUCUCAAUUUGAUUGUCAGCUUAAGAUGGCUUGCAGUACUUCUUUGGUUACUAAAGAGAUGAUUGCACAGUGAUAAGCAGAAAGAGACCAUGGCUGAAUCUGUGUUUUGAAGGCUGUGAAGUUGGAUGUCAUGAUGGAUGGCAAUUCCACAAAUCUAAUGGCAGUUAAUCUUGAUUAUCUUGCUUAUUUUUCCUCCACGAGAAAUUUUGGGUUUUUAACAAGAUAUUUAAUAGAUGAGUUAACCGAACCAUUCUCAAUAGCGCACAGUCUUCUCUGCAAAUAUUACAUGCUUAUAUUAUCUGUUUUCAGUUCUGCUGGUGAUUCUUGAAGAAUAGUUUGGCUGGUAGCACUUUUUAGGUGGACCGCCAAACAAACAACUUUCGUUGAAAAAAACUCUACUAACAAAAGCUCCACUCAUAACAAUUGUGCCAGAAGGUCACGUACACGAGGGACAAUAGACUAUAGUCUAUAAAUAAGUACUAGGUCUCAGCAAUACUCAAAUGUGCACCAACUCGAUGUAACGUAUCUAAUCUUUCCCAAGCAUAUAAAAAUGAUAAACAGACCUGGAUAAAAUCCUCUCAAAGAUACUCGAUUCCUGCAAUAUCAUGAAUUCAUAGAGUUCCAUUCAAAAAAUAUCUGGUAUGUGCAUCAGCUUCAAAAGGAGAUUGACCAUGCAGGCAGUUGAUGAUGAUGAUUGGAUUUCAGAUAAAAGCACUCCGUCCACCCCUCCGACUAUGCCUGUCAUAUGCAGUAUUGAAUUUAUCGACCAGCUCGUUCAUUGUGCUGCCCAAAGGACAAAGGAAGUAUACAUAUCACAUGCGGCAACUUAAAACUAAUCUGUGAUAUAUAAAGCUGUCAAAUUCAUUGAUGCGCCGAAACCAAGUGAACUGUAUAUAUCGAUAGAAUCCUGGCAAUUUCUAUUAGAUGGAAGAAAAAUGGAUAAUUUCUGGUGAAAUCACUGGUUCUGAAGAUAUCCAAGAAAUUACCAAGGGUAAAAUUUUAGCAAAAUAUUAUAAUUUAUACUAAAGUAAAAUCAUUAAAAUUGCGUUCCUUCCAGCAAAUGCUAUACAAACUUUACCCACAUACCAUAAGAAAGAUGAGGUGUCAAGGACCGCAAAUAUACUUAUCACUUUGACCCAUUCGCAGCCGCAAUUUGCCCAACUUCGGCCGCACUUUAUAAAUGUUUUGUUUAAGUCGUAAUUUUCUUUAAGUUGUAAUAAUUUAUUUGAGUUGUAAAAUAAUCCUGCUAUUUAUAAACGUUUAGCAUAAUUCCUCGUCAUUUAAAAGUCCACUCAUGUCAUUUAGGUUUUCCUUAAGCUAUUAUAAGGGUAUAAGGCAUUUGAAAAUCUUGUCAAGAUCACUUGUGUUUGCUCCCAACACUAGUAAUUGUAAUUUUCUGUUUAUCAAUCAAUAAACAAAUCAUUUUCAAUUCAUUCAAAUUCUCUGUUACAAAGCUCUCUUUAAAUUGUAAUCAAAUUGUCUUUCGUCCCAAAACGACCGUGGAAAUGCGAAAGGUAGUCGAGCAGAGUAGACUACUGCCGUACUGUUCCCCUUUCUGCGUUAAGAAGAAAGGUGCCCCGUUAAACUAGGUCUUGCCAAAACUUAGACGAGCUAGGCAUAAUUGAUUCUAAGAGAAUAAUUAAUCUUGCAUGCGUAAUUUGAAACUGGUCCAACUGCUUUCACCCAUGAUACUUUGCUUCUUCCUUUUAUCAUCAAAGUCAAUGAUUCCAUCUUCUAAAUGCAAAUAGAUAACUAAAAGGCUAAUUUAAACAUACCUCGAGCAGUUGGUGAACAUGGCAAGGUAACUGAUUAAUAAUGUGUCAUUAUAUUCCUGCAAAUAAUUAUAAUAUUAGACUCAGAAAAAAUAAAUAAAUAAAUAACUUAAUCCAAGAUCAUGUCUAAGCUACUUAAAAUCAAUCACCAUAUGAAUGUGAGAAUCAAUUUGAGCAAACGAGAAAUACAGAAGAAAAAUGCAAUGGGUACAAAAGUAGACAAGAACUCCCCACCUAUCCAUUAACCCCCAUAAGCAAGUGAAGCAUUCAUAAUACUGCUAAGUAAAUUAUCUCAAGGAAAAUCACAAGUUUGUAAAAGUACUCACCAUCAAGAAAUCAUCCUGAAACUUUUCAGAUUCAAUGGCUGGCAAUCUUCUUAAGAGACUAGAUACUUCCCUUAGCAAUGAAUUCUCACAAGGAAUAUCACCUGAAUGCAGCAGUAACUCAAUUAACAACUUAUAGCUGAGGUCCUUCAAUGAGACAGACAAUUUUGCCCUUCAUCUCAUAGGCAUAUCAAGGAAGCCAACCAAAGCUCUCUAAGAACAAGAUAUGCUUGAAUCUAGUAAAGAUGUUCUAGGCAUUAUUAGACUGUGAAACUUAAAACAGAUCACGAGAAUCAUUUUGUAAAAAAGAAAUCCUCCUAUACACAAAUCAAAAUGAAACCCACACCAAAAAAAAAAAGAAAAAUAAAUAAAUAAAUAAAAAUAAAUAAUAAUAAUAAUAAUCAUAAAGUCCUCAAAAUUAGUUGAAAAUACCUUUCUGCAUUGCAAGAAGAUAAUGAUGAAGUACUCUGAUUCUGCUAUUAAGCAUCUUAAUGGCACUGUGUAUGCCUGUAAGGUGAGCAGCCACUACAAACAAAAUUCAUUUGUAAGUCCUAUCCACGUACUACCAACAAGAAAAAUCUGAACCAAACAAAAGAAAUAUCUGUCCCAUAACUUCCAAAGAAACAGCUAGGGAUAACUUAUAUCACCUGAGAACUUAUUUAAAAAGAGGAAAAACUCACAUUGAGUUGCAGCUGAACCCCCGUCAGAUGGUUUAAGAUGGGCGACAUGAUCGAUGGAGAUUCGUUCAGCUUCAACUGUCUGACAAGCAAGUAAAAAUGAGAUUUAAGUUUCCUGAUGUCAAACUUGUGCGAAAUACAAUCUGAAAACAUGUGAAGAACAUACCUCUAUUGUGUAGCUGGACUGAACAAAAAUAAGCUGGGGGAUCCCAUCAAUCACAUGCAACUCUUGAGAGAUAAUAAUUAGUUGAGAAGAAAGAAAAAUUAUAAUUAAUAAAAUUUCAUAUAAAUCAUAAUUAAAAAUAAUCAAAUUAGCAGGUAUUAUGAUUGAGUGAACACAAGUAUUGUAGCCUAUUGUGCAAAACAAGUAAAACAUUGUCAAAUAUGGUGGCAUGGUUUUCUGGAGUAAAUUUCAUGAUUGAAAUGUAAACAAUAAAAAAUUUUGGGGGUAAAUCCAUAAUCAAUUAAGAAUAUGUCCUCAACACUGCUCCAGGCUUUCUCAAGGUGCUUGAUAAUUUUGAUGUGGCUAGCCUAUUACUACAUACACAAAGUGAACCAUGAAAAAAUAAUUAGGAUGUCUAAAGAGGCUUUUCAAUAUGUGAAACUACUUACUUUACUCUCCCAACCAGGGACGGAUGGUAUCUGUUAAGUGUCCCAGCGAAACGUGUAUGGAUUUAGAAGCUUUCACCAAAAUUUUAGAAUAUUCUCGACAAAUUUCCACCUAUCGAAAUUUUAAUGCAAAAAAUUAUUUCUUUGACCCGGGAAUUUGUGCAAUGGUGUCUACAACUUAAAACUAUUUUGUCUAAGUUAACCAUGUAAACAUGAUAGAAGAAUCUUUGAACUAAUUUGAUAUGUCAUUAAUUGGAACCACUUGUAUCUAUCCUAAUUCAUGAGUGCUCUAUCCUUUAACUCAUCGAAGGUGGCAAGUCGUUAACACUCUAGAUAGCCAUAUAGGUAGGUAAGAGCAAGUUUGUAGGUAAGAGCAAGUUUGCAAAGCUUAUACUCUAUUUUUUAUGCACACAUUCCAUAGUACCCACAAUUUUUACAUACUUUUACCUACCUGUUAUCCACACAUUUUAUAGGAUCCGCAACUUAUAAUCUAAUAAAACAUUUUCUAAACAUACUUUUGAGCGAUAUCCCAUUUCUAAGUACUAUUUACUUUGGGAUGAAUUUUUACUCGAACCACGUCAUAUGAUGUAUUACACUCAUUAAACCUCAGAUCUUCACAUUUCAAAGUUGAAUUGAGUUCCCGCAGUUGCUGGUUUGAAAUGGAUAUCAUUUAUAUAGCAAUUUUGUUCCAUAGAGUGCCUACGAAUUUCAUCCGCUUUUAAGUGUAUCACAUGACAGCGCAAUAAUAAAUACAUACCACUUUCAUAAAUAGUAACUGGCAAAUCUUUCUGGGCCGGGUUUAUUGACGGAUUGAGAAGAACAUAUAGAGGACUCUCAUUGAUAUCCAUCAACUGUCAGGAAGCACAAUAUGUCAUCAGAAUUAGGGAUGCAUAUAUGGAUCUACUGCUAUCACAUAUAUCAGCCUUGUUUGGUUUAGCUAAAAAUUAAUUUUUCAAUAGAUUUUGAUAAAAUGUUGAUGAUAUGUGCGGUUAAAAAGUUGAUGAAAAUUGUGAAUCACAUAAAAUGUGUAUUGAAAAAUGAGUUUGGGAAAAUAUGAGUUUUAAAAAAUAAGGAUCAAAGAGGGGCAUAAUAUAACCUAAUAUGUAUUAUUUCAGCAUCUAAAGCACUACGGAGCCAGCAUUUGAUAAACUCGAACUCACUGUGUUUGUUUUUGCAACAAGUAUAUUAGGAAAAAAAAUCAUAGGUGAAUCUAGUGAGGUCAUUAUGAACAGUGAAAAAUGUUUAAAAUAUUCGAGCAUAGUGUAGUUCCUUCCUUUUAUCUAACCAGGAGCGGACAAAUAACAUAUCAGCAGCAAAUAAGAGGCCGAUAAUAUUCAUCAUCAAGGCAGUGAGUAGCAACACUUUAAAAUCUAAGCAUGUCAACACGUGACAUGACAUAAAUUAGUAAAAUUAGAAAUUUCCCUAACAACCAGUAUUAGGAUGAACAUUUUCAACCUCAAUGUAAACAAUGAAAUACUAUAUAAAUGUAUUUCGAAAUUCCCAGCUUGUUUUAUCUGAUCUUGCUCUUGCUAGACUUGUAUACUCAACUACAAUCCAAAAUCACAUUCUCCCUCAUAUUCCAUAUGUAAGAUCUUUCUGUUAGGAAUCGCAGUGAUAUCAUUCAAAUUGCAUACCCUACUCGCAUGAUCUCAAAAUAUUCGAGUCCAGUCUCAGCUCGAAUUUUGAGCAAAAUUUAUUCCAUCAAAAUAGAACUAUAUAAUAAGAGAGUGAAAAAUAAAAAAAUAAAAAAAAUACACUCACAUCUCUGUGAAUUUGCAUAUCAGAUUCCUGGGCGUCGCUCCCUGUCGAGUACCAUCCCAGUAUAUAAAAAUUUGGAAACACCUUCUUAUCUGCUCAACGCAUCAAAAUCAUUACUUUCAAUUUCCACCACCCAAAACGAAACAAACAUGAAUAAAUAAGUGAAGUACAUACAGAGUUCCUGUUUUUUCUCCAGGAAGGCACGGUCCAGGGAGUGAGUGCAGGGAUCAUAUAGGAGCUCAAAACUGUUGAAUAUCUCGACAGUACGGCCGCGUUGGACUCCUAUGACGCAUCCGAAUACUCGGGGCGGAGGCUGCUGAGGCGGCGAAGAGGAAUCAGAGGUGGCGCCGUUGGAGGCGGAGGCAGCGUGAGGGGUGGAGGGAGGGGGUAAAGACUGGGACUUGAUCCGAGUGUAAUGAUCGGAAAUGUUGACAAUGAAUAGUGGAUGAAGCUUGAAUGUUAGCCCACUACUCGACGAUGACGCCAUAUUCUCUUCGAGUCCUAAGCCCUUUGCAGCUUCGGUAAUUUGACGGAAAAUGGAAGGGAAGGGCUUUAGCAUUUUUUUCUCCAUACCCUUUCCCAAGUAAAUUGUUUCAAUGAGCAUUGAACUUAUGUUCAUAUUUUUUAUUAGUCACUGAAGUUUAUAAUAUCGAGUUUUGAUUAUUUAACUUAGGUCCAUAUCUUAAAUUACUCACUAAAAUUUAAAAUAUCGAGUUUUGAUCAAUGAAUUUUGAAAAAUAUUACACAUUACUCAUUGUAAAAUCGAUAUUUUCCAAAAUUCAAUAGUUUUCCUAGUGAGUAACGUACGACAUUUUUUAAUGUUUAGUGAUCAAAACUCGACAAGUGAGCAACCAAAAAUAUAGACAUAAGUUCAGUGACCAAAAUAUCAAAGACAUGAACCUAAAUUCAGUGGCCAUCGAAACAAUUAACUCCCUUUCCCCUUUAUAUUUUUUCUUUUGUCUUUCUUCCUUCCCCUAUGCAAAAUAUGUAUUUUUUAAUUGAUUCUUAAAAUGUUGAGCACGCUUGUUUUGAAUUUUAAGCAAUAAAUUAUUGAAAAUGUUAUCAUGAAUGAAUUUUAUUUAUUUAUUUAUUUUUAUUUAUGAGCUUGAAAAUAAUCGUGUCGGAAUUGUACCUCAGUUUGACUUGACAAAUUUUGAUCAAACUCAUUUUCAUGGAAUUCUAUUUUUAUGGUGCAAGAUUUGAUAUGAAGUGUACACAGCAGGACAGUCUUUUGGUAGUUGGAUGGAGGGUUAUUUGUGUAUGCGAUUAAAAGGUUCAACACCUCAUUUAUGCAAACUUAAGCAUGCACAUUUAUGCUCUCUCUCUCUCUCUCUCUCUCUCUCUCCGUGUCUGAAAUGAUUUUCAUCUUUUACAUUCUUUAUUCUCUUCACUGAAAUCCAUAUCUUAAUUUCCACGGUGUAAAUGUAGAUAAGGGAAGGUUUUUACGUAUAGAUGGCUAAUGUUUUGUAAUAAGUUUGUGACGUAAAAGAUUGUAUUGGUAUGAAUUGUUGAAAGUUGUGUUGACCUCAAUUAAUGUUGCCAACAGAUAUCGGAUCCACCUGCGCUCAUGUAAGCGAAAGUUCAAUACGCAAAAAUACGUGGACGGUCUAAAAAGGACAGAUCAAGGGCGUGGGAGUAGCUCAACGACGCGGGACGAGAACGUUCGGAAUUCGAUGAGAUGAUCGUAGACCGAUUGUAUAAUAAUUACCAAUCGAUGUUUGCUAAUGUGUAUCUAAAUAUAUAUGAACUCGUUUAUGUUGCAAUAAUAAGAAAGAGAGAGUUGAGUAAAUUAUGAUUUCUUGUAUUGAUUCUUGCAUUCGCCUCUGUAUGAGAUACAUGAGAGAGUAUUUAUAAUGUUACUAGUUAGAUCGUGACCUUUGGUUCGGGGUAUACAUGGCAUCAUCCGGUUGAGUUACAUGUCAAAUUGUAGACAUCAGUCGCACCUAGCCUGUUAUACAUUUAUUGAUUGGCAGAGCCGCCUCUACUAGUGACAAGACUUAACAUUUACACUCAUGACAAACGUCCUAUCAAUUAUUCAAGUAAGAUCUUUGUGUAGAAGAUCUCUUGGAAGAGGUGUCUAUGGAAGAUGUUGCUUUGUGCUUCGGAUGCUGUCACCUCGACUAAGGAGUUUUGGCAAAGAGGGCCUCGGCAUAUGGACUUCAGAAUCUCCUCAUGAGGCAUGGAUAAAUGGGCAUCGGCUAUGCAAAUCACCUCAGAUUGAGUGCCACGUGGUUCGGCAUGAACUGGAUGUGGGCCUCGGUGUGUUGCCUAAGUGUGCGAACAUGUAACAAUAGUCCCCCAAGUCCAAGUAUAGUCAUUUAUGUAAUGCGAGGACUUUGAUGAAGUAAAGCCAGCCAGUUAAGUUGAAAGAAAUUUUUGUACCCCAAAUAAUAGUCCCCCAAGUCCAAGUAUAGAUAUUUAUAUCAUGGUUGGAGUUAGAGAUUUGUUAUUGUCUGAGAAGUGAUGAGAAUGAUAAAGUCGAGGUGGUUGGGAAACCGAACCUGCGAGGCUUGAUGGCUGAAUUUUGAUGAAGAAGUCGAGGUGGUUGGGAAACCGAACAUGUGAGGCUUGAUGGCUGAAUUGUGAUGAAGAAGCCGAGGUGGUUGAGGAACCGAACCUACGAGACUUGAUGGCUGAAUUGUGAUGAAGAAGUCGAGGUGGUUGAGAAACCGAACCUAUGAGGCUUGAUGGUUGAAUUAUGAGGAAGAAGUCGAGGUGGUUGAGAAACCGAACCUGCGAGGCUUGAUGGCUGAAUUGUGAUGAAGAAGCCGAGGUGGUUGAGAAACCGAACCUACGAGGCAUGAUGGCUGAAUUAUGAGGAAGAAGUCGAGGUGGUUGAGAAACAGAACCUGCGAGGCUUGAUGGCUGAGUUGUGAUGAAGAAGCCGAGGUGGUUGAGAAACUGAACCUACGAGGCUUGAUGGCUGAAUUAUGAGGAAGAAGCCGAGGUGGUUGAGAAACUGAACCUGCGAGACUUGAUGACUGAAUUGUGAUGAAGAAACCGAGGUGGUUAAGAAACCGAACCUACGAGGCUUGAUGGCUGAAUUCUGAGGCACACUGACAAUAAUUGUUCCUCGACAGCUGUGCCAGUGAUUUGAUGUUUUGCGCAUAUUUUCGAGAAAAAGUGGUUGAACGGUUACAACUUCCAAGGUACCUGCUACCGUCGAAUUAAAAUCGUAAUUAUGAGAACAGCUAGAGCUUCUAGAAGCAGAUGCGUUGGAGGAGGUGCGUAGGGGACACGCUUAAAUCUGAGACGUAGGUUUGAAAAAUCGUUUGAAUUCUACGCCUCGAAUUUAAUUAAGAAUGAAGAGUUCAGAUUGGAUGGGCUUUGAUCAGACAGUUGGGGUUCGUCCUGGCCCUUUAUAAAAGGUGAGAGACCCUCAUUGUCUUGGAUUUUCUACCAUUUGCAAUCCAAUUUUUCUUCCAAAGCUAAAGUUUUUCGGCGUCGAAGCUCUUUGUCCCUUGAUUUUCCGGCAGCAUUUCGUCGGCGUAGUAACCACGUAGGUAUUUUUACAGAAAAUCCCUUGUAUUGUGUUCUUAGUCAUUUUCUGAAAUGGAGUCCAUCUCGGGUAGGGAGUUGGUCACCGUCGCGUCAUUCGGUCAGGGGGCUAGUUACAGGGGGGACUCCGAGGUUGAGCAGUAUGCUAUGACCAAGGAGGCAGUAGAUUACAGUGUGGAGUGGGGGGCAUCUAGGGUCCCUUCGAACAUGACAGGGAAGAGGUUGGGGGAGAUUAGGGAGAGGUACUGUGUACCUCAUUAUGUAAAGAUGUUAAUACCCGAGGCCCAUGAGCGGGCCUGCUGUCCGAGCCCUGGGUAUGUGGCAGUGAUCGAGUACCUGUUUAAAGCAGGUAUGCGUCUUCCUCUACACCCCUUCUUCAGGGCGGUGUUGAGGAACUUCAUGUUGUCACUGCCUUAGGUUCUGCCAAAUGGGUGAAGUCAGUUGGUUGGCUCGUACUUCACAUGGAAGGAAGUUUCCCUUGGGGAGGAUAUGCCUUUCCACGUCUUCAUGACCCUAUUCCACUCUAGGGUAAUAGGUAAGGAGUCAAGGGGGUGGUAUUACUUAACUCUUUGGGGGGGGGGGGGGCUCAUGCGCCAUUCGUGUUGAGGUUGCCUUCUUCCAUUAAGGGGUAAAAGGAGUCGUGGUUCUGGGUGAUGGGCAGGUGGUAGGCGGUGGAGGGAGACACAGCCCUGGCUUGCAUAGUACCAACCCAGUACUGUGAAGCUCGUGAGUCUCCCAGCCUAAGUAGUUUGCAUUCUGUAUUCAAAUUUCUUUUUUCUCUAACUGUUGGGGCUUCGUUUGCAGAUAGCAGUACGAGGUUCGAGUUGAGGAAGGAGGAGUUCGAAGUGCUUUAUAAGAGACCUCUCAAGCUUCGCCACUUCGACCACCUCAUUGACUGAAGUCGAUACUUCCUUGAUUUCGAACUGAUGGCCUCCAAGGGUAAGAAGCUCCUAUACUUGUGUACUUCUUGCUUUUUGUUUUGAUGCUAAUGCGUUGACAUGUUUUGCAUACAAGUUCAAGAUGAGGGAAUACCCAGCCCCUGACAUGGCCUCUAUACUUAAGGCCACAUCCACUGUGAAGGUGAGGCCUCUGAAGCCGGGGUCCAGUGGUGCCAAAGAGGCUAGGGGUAGGGUUGAGUGCCUCUUUAAGGACAGAAGCUCAAGGGCUCUCCAAAAGGGGGCACCUCAGAAGCCGGAGAAGGCUAAAGAGCUUCGGGGAAAAGAGAAAGUCCUCGAAGAGUCGAAAAAGAGGAAGCUGGUGCAUGUCACCAGCUCAUCAGGAAAAUUUGGGACCUCCGUGUCCCAUGUAGGCAGAGAAGUCACUCAGCUGAAGCUCUUUGCAUCCGCCUCGAAAGCGGUAAAAAUAGAGAUGGUUCUAUGAGCCGAGGCUGAGAAGGCAAAGGAAGAGGCUGCGAGGAGGGCAGCUGAGGCUGUAGAGGAGGAGACCGCCAAGCAGAGGCCUGCCAGGGUGCAAGGAAAGUCUCCGAGCUUCCUUGCCGGAAGGAAGGAGGUUCUAGCUCCAACAUUAGUGGAGGCUCUACCACCUGAGAUCCGAAGUUCCACAGAAAGCUUCUACAAAUUUUGGACGGAUUGGUGGCAGUUGCAUGCCUCCUCAUGUGACGCCAUAGACUUGAUAAGGGCCCUCGUAAGCCAAAGUGUGAAGACCUUUGGCCUCACACUGGAGUCCAAGGAGGCCCUUACUGACUUCCAAACGAGGACCCAGUCCUCGAAGAAGAAGAUGGCCUCCCUCGCAAAGGAGCUAAAGGGAGCAAGAACCGAGGCGGAGAAAGCGAGGGCCCAAAAACUUGAAGAUGUGGCUAAGUUGGAGUCUGCCUUGGCUCAGAUUGAAGCGUUGAAGAAGGAGGUGUAUGAGUCCCUAUGCGAGGUGGCCUCCUUGACUAAGAAAGUGGAGGCUUUCAAUGACCACCAAAAGGUGAUUGUUGAAGCCUUGGAGAAGGCAAAUUUGGAGCUGGCUGGGGCUCAAGAUGCCUACAAGUUCUUGGAGGGCUAGAUAAAGUGGUAUGUUGAUGAUGCAACCAAGGCUAGGGAGGAGGCCCAUGAUGUGAGGGAGGAGGCAGUGAAAGACUACAUCGCCAACUUCUACAAUACCGAGGAGUACAAGAGCUUCAUCACUUACUGGAGAAAUUUUGCUUAUGCCUAGAUGAUGGAGAGGGCUGAGGAGCUUUACCCAAAUCAAGACCUGUCACAACUGAGGUCAGAAUUUGUUGAUGAAGUGCCUCAAACCCCAGCUGAUGAAGAGGUUGGAGAUGAAGUAGCGGAGGCAGAAGAAAGAAGUUCUGAUGCUCAAGCUGCGGAGGCCUCGGCUGUAAAGGCACCUCCCCCGUCUUCACAGGCUUAGGACACUUUUCUUUUCAGUUAUUUCUAAUGUACUGGCCUCGUGCCCCCUUUUGUAAUCUUGGUUCAAAAUCAAUGGAUUAUCUUCUUUCAUUCAAUUUUUUUUUCUCCUAAAUGUAUUGGUCUCGUCAAGCAAUUGAACUUAAUGUUGAUUGAAGAACUAAAUAACUUUAACUUGGUAUCCUACCUCCAAUCACUUGAGCAAGUAAAUUGUACGGAAGCCUCACGAACCAUAAACAAUAUUGGACUUAAGCAAAUGAACUGUACUUAAGCUUAACAACCAUAACCUGAAUGGAUCCUGACUGGACAGUGUUUCAACCGAACUGGGAAUAUUAUCUGAUUCAAAGUGUAUGCGCCUCGGAGUUCAAACGAGGUGGUCCAAAGAUGGGACGCUGUCCUCUCCUUGGAGGUGACGACGCUUCCCAACAUGGUGGAGGGUUCAGCCAUAAUGAGGCUUCCCCCAGCGGUGUUCAGCCUCGCCAAAGGGAGGCAAAUGCAUGCCCUCGGAGUUUAAACGAGGUGGCCCAAAGAUGGGACAUUGUUAUCUCCUCUAAGAUGACGACGCUUCCCAACAUGGUGGAUGGUUCAGCCAUGUUAAGGCUUCUCCCAGUAGCAUUCAGCCUCGCCAAAGGGAGGCAAGUGCAUGCACCUCGGAGUUCAAACGAGGUGGCCCAAAGAUGGAACUGUCCUCUCUUUCGAGGUGACGACGCUUCCCAACAUGGUGGAUGGUUCAGCCAUGCUGAGGCUUCUCCUAGCGCUGUUCAACCUCGUUAAAGGGAGGCAAAUGCAUGCGCCUCGGAGUUCAAACGAGGUAGCCCAAAGAUGGGACGCUGUCCUCUCCUCUGAGGUGACGACGCUUCCCAACAUGGUAGAUGGUUCAGUCAUGCUGAGGCUUCUCCCAGUGGCGUUCAGCCUCGCCAAAGGGAGGCAAGUGCAUGCGCUUCGGAGUUCAAACAAGGUGGUCCAAAGAUAGGAUGUUGUCCUCUCUUCCGAGGUGACGACGCUUCCGAACAUAAUGGAUGGUUCGGCCAUGCUGAGGCUUCUCCCAGCGGCGUUUAGCCUCGCCAAACGGAGGCAAGUGCAUGCACCUCGGAGUUCAACGAGGUGGCCCAAAUAUGGGACGCUGUCCUCUCCUCCGAGGUGACGACGUAAUACGACACGUGAAUUCAAUCAUGGAUAAUUUUAUUGAAUCAUUUAAAUGUUACAUAAGCUGGGAAAGAUCUUCCGGUGAGGUAGUACAUUCAUUGAUAAUAGAUUCGGAGGUGCUCAAUGUUCCAUGGACGAGGUUGUGCCUUGCCGUUCAUGUCUUCAAUCCAGUAGGUUCCGGGUCAGAUUUCCUCCCUAAUUUUAUAUGGACCUUCCUAGUUUGGGCCUAGGGAACCGGUGUCAGGUUCCUUCGAGGAGAUGAAGACCCUCCUAAGGACCAAGUCGUUGAUUCGAAAUGACCUCUUCUUUACCUUUGAGUUGAAGUACUUCGUCAUCUUUCUUUGAUAUACGCCGAGCUUCAGCUGGGCGUUAUCUCUCCUUUCCUCAAUGAAGUUGAGGUCGUACCUGCAAAGCUCGUCAUUUGUUAUCUCCCUGAAAUGCAGACGUCAUGGAGAUGGAAGUCCGACCUUGACGAGGCUCAUCGCCUCAGUUUCAUAUGUCAUGAGGAAAGGUGUUUCCCCUGUUGGGGUCUUCGCAGUGGUUCGAAUUGCCCAAAGAACCUGUGGCAGCUCAUCCACCCAGGCCCCUUUUGACACAUAAAGCUUCCUUUUCAGGAUGUGCUUGAUUGUCUUGUUCACAGCCUCAAACUGGCCAUUUUCUUGUGGGUGGUAAAGCGUGGAGAAGUGCUUCUUGAUGCCAAGUUUUUCACACAAACUUCUGACAUUCUUGUUAUCGAAUUGUCUACCAUUGUCUGAGAUGAUCGAGUAGAGAAUCUCGAACCGGCAUAUGAUAUUCUUCCACAAGAACUUAGAAGUGUUGGCUUCUGUGAUUUUUGCCAAGGGUUCAGCUUCAACCCUCUUCGUGAAGUAAUCAAUGGCCACAAUUGCGAAAUUCGCACCUCCUCUGCCUUUCAGUAGAGGACCUAUGAUGUCCACACUCCACUUCGAGAAAGGCCAAGGGCUGGAGACCGGGGUCAAAUUUUGCGAUGGUUGUCUUUGGAUAGGAGAGAAUCGUUGGCAUUUGUCACAUUUUCAUACAAACUUGAGGGCGUCCCUUUUCAAGAUAGGCCAGUAGUAUCCCUGUCUCAGUGUCUUUUAUGCCAAAGAUAGACCUCCGGAGUGGUUGCCGCACACACCCUCAUGGACUUCUCUUAAGAUGUAGGUAGCCUCUUCUUCUCCGAAGCAUCGUAAGAGUGGAGAGGAGAAGCUCAUCUUAUAAAGUAUAUCAUCAAUGAAGAGGAAAUGAACUGACCUCCUCCUUAGCUUGUAGGCCUCAUGUUUGUCAGUGGGAAGUACCUGGUCCUUGAGGUAUGCCAUGAUGGGUUGCAUCCAAGUAGGAGUCCCAGUGACCCACAUUACAUUGGGGGCCUCGGUUGACGGCAUGAGGAGGUGCUCUAUUGGGACUACUGUGAGCAGUUCGGAAUCCUUGCUACUUGCAAGUUUGGAGAGUGCAUCCGCAUGUGCGUUUUCGAUGCGGGGGAUCUGGACCAACUCAAACUUUUCAAAGGAUGGGAUGAGGUUUAUCACCAUUUUCAAGUAGGAGGCCAUUGUUUUGUCCCUGGCUGAGAAGUUACAGUUGACCUGGCUAACGACCAGCUGGGAGUCGCUACUGAUGAGUAGCCUCUUUACUUGCAUUUCUUUGGCUAACCUGAGGCCUGCGAGAAGCGCCUCGUAUUCUGCUACAUUGUUGAUGGCCUUGAACCCGAACCUCACUAUCAAGUUCAGCUUGUGACCUUCCGGGCUGAUAAGGACAACUCCGGCAUCUGAGCCGACAUCCCCAGCUGACCCAUCAACGAAUAGGUUCUACGUUGGUGGCUCGGCUUGUUCCAUGAUUUCAUCCACCUCGGGUAAGUUGGCGAAUUCUGCCACAAAGUCAGCUAAGGCUUGGCCCUUGAUGGCUGUCCUAGCCUUGAACACGAGGUCUAACUCACUUAGCUCCAUUGCCCAUUUCAAUAAUCUCCCUGAGGCAUCGGGCUUUUGGAGUACCUGCCUUAGAGGAAAAUUUGUCGGCAUGUGGAUGGUGUGGGCUUGGAAGUAGGGUCUCAACUUCUUGUCGUGAUUAAGGCCAAAGCGAGCUUCUCCAUAUCGGGGUAGCGGGUUUUCGGAGAUAGGAGUGCUUUAUUUGUUUAGUAAAUGGGGAGUUGGGUGGUUCCAUUUUCUCGGGUUAGAACCGUACUGAUGGCCUCAUUGGAGACGGCUAGAUACAGUUGUAGGAUUUCACCAGGUUUCAGUUUGGAGAGGAGGGGGGCCUGCCCUAGGUGCCUUUUCAGGCCCUGGGAGGCCUCGUCACAUUCCUCAUUUCACUGGAACUUCUUCCCAGCUUUUAGCACUUUGAAAAAUGGGAGGUAAUUGUCCGUGGUUUUGGAGACGAAGCGGCUAAGUACGGCUACUCACCCAGUCAAGUUUUACACCUCCUUUGGCUUUUGGGGGACCUCAUCCUGCAUAGGGCCUCAAUCUUCUCAGGGUUGGCUUCCAUCCCGCGUUAGUUGACCAUGAAUCCCAAGAAUUUGCCAGAAGCCACUCCGAAGGCACACUUGAGGAGGCUGAGCCUCAUCCUAUAUCUUCUCAAGAUUUGGAAAGUACUGUUGAGGUGUGUUAUGUGGUCCCCAGCUUCCAAACUCUUUACUAGCAUGUCGUCUACGUAUACCUUCAUUGUCUUGUCGAUGAGGUCCACAAAUAUUUUGUUGACGAGCAUUUGAUAUGUUGCUCCGGUAUUUUUCAACCCGAAGGGCAUCAUCUUGUAGUAGUAAAGGCCUUGGUCUGUGAUGAAAGAUGUGUGUUCCUCAUCAGCCGGUUGCAUGGGAAUCUGAUUAUAGCCAGAGUAUGCAUUCAUGAAGCUUAAUAACUCGUGCCCAGCCAUGGAGUCUACCAGUUGGUCAAUUCUUGCAAGUGGAAAGCUGUCCUUCGGGCAAGCUCUGUUGAGGUUAGUGAAAUCGAUGCAUACCCUCCACUUGCCGUUGUGUUUCUUCACUAAAACUAGAUUGGAGACCCACUUCGGAUAGGUGGCCUCCCGAUGAAGUCAUUCUGAAUGAGCUUCUGAACUUCUUCCUUCAGGGCCUCGUACCUCUCAGGAUUGAAGGCUCUCCUUUUUUGUCUAUGCGGGGCAACCUUAAGAGCAAUUUUCAAGUGGUGGCAACUGACCUUGGGGUCUAUACCUACCAUAUCCGUAUGCUUCCUAGCAAAGAUAUCAAGGUUCCUACUUAGGAAAUCCUUGAGCUUUUCUUUCGCAGUGCUGGAAAAGCCCUUGCCCACCUUCAAUAAUUUGGAUGGGUCUUGGGGGUCCACCGAGAAGCUCUCAAGUUCCUCAACUGGGGAUGCUUGAGGUUCGUGUUCAGCUAUGUGGGGAUCAACCUCAUCGAUGACCAAUACUUCCAAAUUGGGUGGUGCGUCAAUCAUUUCGACAUCUUCCGGUUUGGCGGGAGUAUCACCUGGGGCAUCAGCCAUGACUACGUCGACAAUAAUUACGUGGACGUCCCGAGGCUCUACCUUUCUAAUGGAGCUUAAAUAACAUUCUCUUGAGCCUCUUUGGUUGCCUCUCACCAUUGUCAUCCCAUUUUUAGUCGGGAACUUCAUGCAUAGGUGGUGGAUGGAAUGGACGACUCCUCAUUCUUUUAGGGCUGGCCUACCCAAUACUCCGUGGUAGGCCGAUCGACUGUCGACAAUAAGGAAUUUCAUGAAUUUCAUUGUGGUUUGGGGAGACUCCCCCAUCUCUACCGCAAGUGUGAUUUUUCCUCUCAGAGUAAUGCUAUCUCCUAUAAAUCCGUACAAAGGAGUGGUGGUGGAUGUUAACUCAUAGUCCAGUAUUAGCUUGUCAAAGGUAGAUCCGAAUAGAAUGUUGACGGAGCUACCAUUGUCAACUAACAUUCGUUUGAGCCCAUUCAGGGCUAUGACUGUUCUUACCACAAGUGCAUCGCAGUGGGGGUAGUGUACUCCUUCAGUGUCCUCCUGGGUGAAGACAAUAGGUGGACUUGAUCUCUCUGGAAACCAUGGCCCACAAUAUAGCUGGUAAGCCGGGGGCGCUUGGCCUCACAGGAAUAAUUCCUUUUGGCGUUCCGCGUUUCACCGCCUACAUAAGGGCCUCCAAAAAUGGUAUCCACCUCGUAGAUAGAAAGCCUCAUCCUGAGUUUUUCGGUCUCUUCGAUGUCUGCGCUCUUCCUUGAGCCUUUCUGCAUCAUGUUUCCUUCGUCGCGGAGAGACGUCCUUUUGACAUGGAGCGGCCUCUUCACGCCCAAGUCGGUUAUCGUACCUUGGUGGGGGCCUGUUCGCCUGGGGCGAAUCAUUUCUGUCCCUAGGGGUUCUUGUCGGGAGUGGUGAGCAUAGUCUCGACAAUCUGCUGUGUCGUGUCCCUAGGACCCGUGGUAUACAUAAUAUCCAGGUGGGUUUUGAUUUGACCUAUUUCUAGGUCCUGAAUCCCGACCUCGGCCUCUCUCCCUACGGGAUCCUUGCGGAGUUCCCAUCUGUCGGGUGUUAGUGACUGGGUUGAUAUCCUCAUACGCUAAUGUAGGGACAGCGUUAAGAGUGGUGGUGGCCAGUGCUUGCCCAAAACUCUCAUUACCAGCUUGGUUCAUUUGGUAGUCCAUCAAGUGGGAGGCCGGCCCUCUAGCACGUUGCCUUUGAGGAGGUGGGAGGCCUCUAUUUGCCCUGUUCCUAUGCUCAAUCAAUUCUUCAUUGAUGAUUUCCUGUCUCAUCAUCUCGAGUAGAGCAUCAUAGGUGGUGGGGUCUUAAUUUUGCACGUCCCUCUAGAAUAGGGUGUUUAUGUUCAGACCUCCUCUCAAUGCAGAUAACGCCUCACGGUCGAUGACUUGCGCAUAAUAUGUCAUCUCAUUGGUGAAACGUGAUAGCUCUUUAAGGACUCCCCAUGUACCUGUCUCAUAUCUUGGAAACGUUGGAUGGGGGUCUUUCCCUCUUUGCUCACAGCAAACCUCUUCAGGAAGGUCGUCUUGAAUUCAAACCAACUUCUUAUACUCCCAAGUGGUAAUCUGCUUUACCAAAUUUCAGCUGCUCCGCUAAGGGUUAAGUGGAAAGCUCUGCAUUUCACAGCUGGGAUGGUGCCCCUUAGGCUCAUGUGAGUUUUGUAAGCAUUCAGGUGCUUCUCUGGGUCGCCUCUUUCAUCAUACUUUGGUAUCUUUGGCAUAACAUAGUGGUUCGGGACCUGGGCGCUCCUUAGUUCCCUUGAGAAUGACAAGUUUUCAUCAUCAUCGUCCAAGUCACAGGACCUCUGCUGCUAAUUAGAAUCAUUUUCUUCAGCCUCAUACCUCGGUUGUUGGUGAGAGGUUCUGGGACGAUUCCUAGCCUUUUCCUCCCUCCUUUGGCGCCUAUUUCUAGGUGGAGCAACACGAGGGGCAUUUUCACGCCUUUCCUCCGGCUGUUGAGGCAUUGGAGGUGGAGGUGUGGCGGUGGCCUUGUCCAAGGCUCGUGAUACUGUUGUUGUCUGAGCUCGGUUCAGCGCGGCUAAUUCUGUCAAAUACACUGUCUGACCUCCUAUGUCUUUGCUCUUGCUCAUAUGGAGGUGGAAAGUUAUCAUAGUUCAAAGGGACCUCGUGGGUUGGCCAGAAGCGUAAUUGGAGGAAACAUCAACUUCUUCUUCCCUUUCAAAUGGGUUUCUACCUCAGCUAUGGUCCGACGAGGUAACCCUAUGGCUUUGAACUUCAUCUUCUUGCUGGUAGUGCCCUUGAGGGGCGUAUGGAGGAAUAGGGAAGCCUUCCUGGCCCUGCAUUUAGGCCAUAAGUUCCCUCAUAGCCACGUUUUGGCUAGCAACAUCCCUCAUAUUAGCAGCCAUGGUGGCCAUUUAUCUUGACAGCCAGGUCGUCACACGCAUUCCACCUCUUCUGUGGUUGUGGUGGGGUCUAUGUCGAGCUGCUGAGGUAGCUGCUUGAGGGGGCACAUUAGCAUUUUCUCUUACCCUCCUGGGGGCGUAUCUUCGUUUGAACUCAUUUUCCUUGUGUCUCACCCUUCAGAUUUUUGCUAAGUCGUGGGGCUUCCUCUUGUUAUUUUUCAAAAACAAAUCCUUUUUCAAGGGGGAUACCCAAAUGUUCCUCUUUAACAAGCUUUUACCACAAGGUUGUUCAUGAUUAUGGUAUGGCUUCCCACAGACGGCGUCAAUCUGUUGACCCCAAUUAAUGUUACCAACAGAUACUGGAUCCACUCGCGCUCACGUAAGCGAAAGUCUAACAUGCAAAGACACGUGGACGGUCUAAAAAGGAUAGAUCAAAGGCAUGGGAGUAGCUUAACGACGCGGGACGAGAACGUUCGAAAUCCGAUGAGAUGAUCGUAGAUCGAUUGUAUAAUAAUUACCAAUCGAUGUUUGCUAAUGUGUAUCUAAAUAUGUAUGAACUCGUUUAUGUUGUAAGAUAAUAAGAAAGAGAGAGUUGAGUAAAUUAUGGUUUCUUGUAUUGAGUCUUGCAUUCACCUCUGUAUGGGGUACAUGGGGGAGUAUUUAUAGUGUUAUUAGUUAGAUCGUGACCUUUGGUUUGGGGUACACGUGGCCUCAUCCGAUUGAGUUACAUGUCAAAUUGUAGGCAUUAGUCGCACCUAGCCUUUAUACAUUUAUUGAUUGGCAGAGCCGUCUCUACUAGUGACAAGACUUAACAUUUACACUCAUGACAAACAUCCUAUCAAUCAUUCAAGUAAGAUCUUUAUGUAGAAGAUCUCUUGGGAGAGGUAUCUAUGGAAGACGUUGCUUUGUGCUUCGGAUGUUGUCAUCUCGGCUAAGGAGUUUCGACAAACAGGGCCUUGUCCACCUUCAAAAGGGCCUUGACAUAUGGGCUUCGAAAGCUCCUCAUGAGGCAUGGAUAAAUGGGCCUCGGUUUGUGGGCGUCGACUAUACAAAUCACCUCCAAUUGAGUGCCACGUGGUUCGGCAUGAGCUGGCUGUGGGGCCCAGUGGGUUGCCCAAGUGUGCGAACACGUAACAAGUUGUUCUUAAUUAUAGUAUUUGAGUCAUAUCCAUUGAUGGUCUAUGGAUGAAUAACAUUUAGAGCUUUUUGAACACCUGGAUCAAUUAGUGGGUGAAAAUCCUUUAUGUUCAAUCUUUAUUUUUUACAAAUUGGUUCGUGUUUAUAGGGUUUAAAUGAGUAUUUGGGAUUACUAAGCUCUCGUUUGGUAACAAUUUUUCAUCCAA
rnacentral:lncRNA from 1 species